UACGUAGGGGGCAAGCGUUGUCCGGAAUCAUUGGGCGUAAAGAGCGUGUAGGCGGCCCGAUAAGUCCGCCGUGAAAGUCCAGGGCUCAACCCUGGAAUGCCGGUGGAAACUGUCGGGCUGGAGUCCGGAAGAGGCGAGUGGAAUUCCUGGUGUAGCGGUGAAAUGCGCAGAUAUCGGGAGGAACACCAGUGGCGAAGGCGACUACCUGGCCCAUUCUUGACGCUGAGGCGCGAAAGCGUGGGGAGCAAACAGG
rnacentral:rRNA from 1 species